GAUGAACGCUGGCGGCGUGCCUAAUACAUGCAAGUCGAGCGAACAGACGAGGAGCUUGCUCCUCUGACGUUAGCGGCGGACGGGUGAGUAACACGUGGAUAACCUACCUAUAAGACUGGGAUAACUUCGGGAAACCGGAGCUAAUACCGGAUAAUAUAUUGAACCGCAUGGUUCAAUAGUUAAAGACGUUUUUCCUUUCACUUUGAGAUGAUUCCGCGCCGCAUUAGCUAGUUGGUAAGGUAACGGCUUACCAAGGCGACGAUGCGUAGCCGACCUGAGAGGGUGAUCGGCCACACUGGAACUGAGACACGGUCCAGACUCCUACGGGAGGCAGCAGUAGGGAAUCUUCCGCAAUGGGCGAAAGCCUGACGGAGCAACGCCGCGUGAGUGAUGAAGGUCUUCGGAUCGUAAAACUCUGUUAUUAGGGAAGAACAAAUGUGUAAGUAACUAUGCACGUAUUGACGGUACCUAAUCAGAAAGCCAUGGCUAACUACGUG
rnacentral:rRNA from 1 species